rnacentral:rRNA from 1 species
CCCUUAGAUGUUCUGGGCCGCACGCGUGCUACACUGAUGCAUACAGCGAGUACUUUCCAGCUCCGCGAGGCAGCUGGUAAUCAGCAAUAUGCAUCGUGCUGGGGAUAGAUCUUUGGAAUUAUAGAUCUUGAACGAGGAAUUCCUAGUAAGCGCAAGUCAUUAGCUUGCGCUGAUUAAGUCCCUGCCCUUUGUACACACCGCCCGUCGCUCCUACCGAUUUCGAGUGAUUCGGUGAACCUUUUGGACAGCGUCUGUCCUCGUGUCAGAUGCUGAAAGUCAAGUAAACCACAUCAUUUAGAGGAAGGUGAAGUCGUAACA